rnacentral:misc_RNA from 1 species
AACGCACCUUGCGCUCCUUGGUAUUCCGAGGAGCAUGCCUGUUUGAGUGUCUUGAAGUCAUCAGCUCCCUCCCGUUUUGCGAUGGGUGGGAGAGCUGGAGCUGGGGGUCGUGCUGCCGAAAGGUCGGCUCCCCUGAAAUGCUUCGGUUGGGCCUGCGGGUCGAACUCGACUGGGCGUUGUACCAUCCUCGCUCGACCGAGUGCCCUGCAAAUGUGCUCGGACCACGGCCGCUUGUGGAGCGGUGGCCAAACGAGAUGCUUCUCGAAUUCUGACCUCAAAUCAGGUAGGACUACCCGCUGAACUUAA